rnacentral:rRNA from 1 species
GACGAACGCUGGCGGCGUGCCUCACACAUGCAAGUCGUGCGGGGUUCAUGUUCGGAAGCCUUCGGGUGGAAGAGCAUGCACCUAGCGGCGGACGGGUGAGUAUCACGUGGGUGACCUGCCCAUCAGACGGGGAUAACCCUGGGAAACCGGGACUAAUACCCGAUACGGCGAACGGAUCGCAUGGUUUGUUCGUCAAAGGUGGCCUCUGCUUGCAAGCUACCGCUGGUGGAUGGGCCCGCGUCCCAUUAGCUUGUUGGUGGGGUAAUGGCCUACCAAGGCAACGAUGGGUAGCCGGCCUGAGAGGGUGGUCGGCCACACUGGGACUGAGACACGGCCCAGACUCCUACGGGAGGCAGCAGUGGGGAAUAUUGGACAAUGGGCGCAAGCCUGAUCCAGCGACGCCGCGUGGGGGAGGAAGGCCUUCGGGUUGUAAACCCCUGUCGUCCGGGAAGAAAAGCCGUCUGCGAAUAGUGGACGGUCUUGACGGUACCGGAGGAGGAAGCCCCGGCUAACUACGUGCCAGCAGCCGCGGUAAUACGUAGGGGGCGAGCGUUGUCCGGAAUUACUGGGCGUAAAGGGCGUGUAGGCGGCUCUGCAAGUCUGGGGUGAAAGCCCACGGCUCAACCGUGGGAUUGCCUUGGAAACUGUGGGGCUUGAGGGCAGGAGAGGAGAGCGGAAUUCCCGGUGGAGCGGUGGAAUGCGUAGAGAUCGGGAGGAACACCAGUGGCGAAGGCGGCUCUCUGGCCUGUACCUGACGCUGAGGCGCGAAAGCGUGGGGAGCAAACGGGAUUAGAUACCCCGGUAGUCCACGCCGUAAACGAUGGGUGCUAGGUGUGGGUGGGUUCGACCCCAUCCGUGCCGUAGUUAACGCAAUAAGCACCCCGCCUGGGGAGUACAGCCGCAAGGCUGA